rnacentral:rRNA from 1 species
CGCGUAGGCGGGUCUGUAAGUCAGAGGUGAAAUCCUGCAGCUUAACUGUAGAACUGCCUUUGAUACUGCAGAUCUUGAGUUCGGAAGGGAGAGGCGGAAUUCCAGGUGUAGUGGUGAAAUACGUAGAUAUCUGGAAGAACACCAGAGGCGAAGGCGGUCUCUUGGUCCGUAACUGACGCUGAGGCGCGAAAGCGUGGGGAGCAAACAGGAUUAGAUACCCUGGUAGUCC